CCUACGGGGGGCAGCAGUAGGGAAUCUUCCACAAUGGGCGAAAGCCUGAUGGAGCAACGCCGCGUGGGUGAAGAAGGUCUUCGGAUCGUAAAACCCUGUUGUUAGAGAAGAAAGUGCGUGAGAGUAACUGUUCACGUUUCGACGGUAUCUAACCAGAAAGCCACGGCUAACUACGUGCCAGCAGCCGCGGUAAUACGUAGGUGGCAAGCGUUAUCCGGAUUUAUUGGGCGUAAAGGGAACGCAGGCGGUCUUUUAAGUCUGAUGUGAAAGCCUUCGGCUUAACCGGAGUAGUGCAUUGGAAACUGGGAGACUUGAGUGCAGAAGAGGAGAGUGGAACUCCAUGUGUAGCGGUGAAAUGCGUAGAUAUAUGGAAGAACACCAGUGGCGAAAGCGGCUCUCUGGUCUGUAACUGACGCUGAGGUUCGAAAGCGUGGGUAGCA
rnacentral:rRNA from 1 species